AUUGAACGCUGGCGGCAUGCUUUACACAUGCAAGUCGAACGGUAACAGGGAGCUUGCUCCGCUGACGAGUGGCGAACGGGUGAGUAAUGCAUCGGAACAUGCCCAGUCAUGGGGGAUAACUACGCGAAAGCGUAGCUAAUACCGCAUACGCCCUGAGGGGGAAAGUGGGGGAUCUUAGGACCUCACGUGAUUGGAGUGGCCGAUGUCAGAUUAGCUAGUUGGUGAGGUAAAGGCUCACCAAGGCGACGAUCUGUAGCGGGUCUGAGAGGAUGAUCCGCCACACUGGGACUGAGACACGGCCCAGACUCCUACGGGAGGCAGCAGUGGGGAAUUUUGGACAAUGGGCGAAAGCCUGAUCCAGCCAUUCCGCGUGCAGGAUGAAGGCCCUCGGGUUGUAAACUGCUUUUGUACGGAACGAAACGGCCUUUUCUAAUACAGAGGGCUAAUGACGGUACCGUAAG
rnacentral:rRNA from 1 species